GGGAAGGACCGCUUCGAAACAAUAUCCGAAAGAGACGGGAGGCACGUUGCAUCGUUUAACCGACAGUCAUCCAAUGAUUAUUUAGAGCCAGAUACACGCAUGUGUGCGCCAUCCAACGAAAAUCGUACGAAAGUCGUAUGAAAAUCGUGAAUCAAUUUCUAGAUCAUUGAUGCAUACUGGAUUUAAUUGAACUUGAAAAAUUCUUGGAUCGAUGAACGAAUGGAAAAUUUGUUUUUUCGAAAGGCCGUGGUAUAUUAUUUUCAAAGUUAUCCGUUACGUAUCACGAAUUUGCAUGAGCGAAAGAAUAGUCCGACAGGGAAUCUUCUCUGAUGACUAUAAACGUUGAUUCACAUUCACGAAGAGAAGAGAAGAGAAUUGUUUGUGAAAUUAAUUUGUGAGAUGGUCAUACAUCUAUUUUAGUCCCGAGUCACAUGGAAGAGUAAACAUAUACGUUGUAUACGUCGCGUAUACGUGUAUACUUCGAGCUCGAGAGGAUUGGAACGACUCGAGAAAAAUCUUGCGAAUAAUUUAUUUAUAAAUUUUACGUGAAAAUCGUUGAUCUCGGUCUCGAGGAAAAUAAAGAGAUAAUUAUUAACGACGGAAGACGAAUAAAAAGAGAUCGUACACAAUUUUCUUGCGUUCGAGUGUUAAACGAGAAGCGUCGGACUGCGAUCGUUUAAAGCCUGACUUAUAUAUCAGCGAAAGCAUAGUCGGACCAUCUCCAUUCAACGAGUACUGGCAAUUAGAGGCAAUAGUUGCCGACCCUUUCUCCCAAAGGUCUUGUCUCGAGGUGUUGAAUUUCUUGGUAUCUCAUCGAUCGAAGUUCGUUCCAGUCAUAUCAUGACGGAAUAUUAUCUAAAAACUCUUUCGAUCUCCUAUCCCGUGUCUCUUAAAUUUUGCCAAAAGAAUUGGUAAAAAAAAGUUUGCAACAAGAAUCGUACGAUUUUCUCGCCGCUUGUUUUUAAAUCCUCUUUCAAAAAUUGUUCCACUCCUUAUAUUCGCUUCUCGAUCGAAAGUGUUGCAUAUAAUGGAGAUUGUCGUUAUCCUAACGAUAAGAAAUCAGUCGAGUCCAAACAGGAGAUCUCGUUUCGUGGAUACGGUACUGCACGAUCUCUGGCGUGGCGGGUCCAGCAAUGACGCGGAGAUCACCGAGCGUGUCCGAAUUCGGCCGAUGUUAAUCGAGUGGGAGUUGAACGUACCGCGUGGUGGGGGUAACGCGUCUUCUUCGAAGGGGAAUUCCCCGAUGCUGGUGCGGUGCGGUGACCACACCGUGUCCCUUUUUGUUGCCGCCCAUUAGGCGCCACCGCGGCGUGAUUCGCAACCGUGUUUCUUUAUCUUUGCCGUAGCUAGACUCUGCAAACGUAACCGAUUGCACGCGUUCUUUCCUAUCUUUCCACCCUGUCUUUUUUCCGUCCUUCCUCCCUUCGGACAAUAGCAGAGUGAUUCACCGGGCGUAGGUACGAUGUUUCUCUGUAUAUACGCGCGGAGAUAAGUCGCCGCGUGCCACGUUUCGAGUUCCGCCUCUCCCCACGCGUUACGAUCGUGUUUCGACUUUUGAAUUGUAGAUAAAAAUAUGGGAACUGUUCCGAGAAGUAUUUAGGCAAAAACUUGGGAAGGAAUUCGCCCUUACGACGAAGCGAAGAAUAUCGUUAUAAAGAUAUUUCCGUCUCUUAUCGUAAGAAUUUAUUUCCGAAAAAUAUACCUUUCCCCGUUGCUUAAAGUUUAUAACGCGGGUCUCUUUUUUUUUUUUGAACGAUACUUUGAGAAUUAUCUCGGUUAUCACGUCUUGAAGAUUGAUAUCUUUUAACCGAGUACUAUCAUUGUCCUCGAAAGCUUUUAUCUCGAGUUAUAAAUUAAUCGACAACGAUAGGAAUAAUAAACGUCCGACGCGAACGUUUUUUUCCCGUUUGGUUCGCCCCGAUCGAAGAUAAUCUCUUUUUUCUUUUUUAUUCGAUAUUUUUUUCACCGCGCCAUGGGAUCACAUAGAUUUUUCAUCUUUUAUGGACGGGAAUGCGGAGACAAUGUGACUACGCGGGGCAGAUUAACUGGAUAGAAAAGCCGGUCCACGGUUUAUUCGCUCAUUCGCGGGGAACAUCGGUCAAUCGUGUUUUACCAAAGAUUGCUUUCUUUUUAUCCAGACAACACGUGCCUCUGCGCUACCAUCUUUCACGGAUGACUGAUGCGUUGGCUCGCCUCCUCGCUUUUUAGCUCGCGCAUCGAUGAGUUCAUUGCGACGGAUUGAAUUCUCUAUGAUUCAUAACGCGCAAGAUGAUCGCGAAUUUUAACGAUCUCGAAAUAAUAUACCGAUUCAAAGUUAACUUUUAUUAAAAUAUAUCGUGUCAUAUCACGUUGACGUAAUAAAGAUUUCAAUUAAGCAUCGAAAAAUCAUAAAACGAUCGUUCUCUUUUCUUCUCGAUACUGGUAUUUCGAAAAAGGUGACUUUGGUCGUUAUAUCGUGAGAUCGAUGUUCUUUAUCGUUUCUCUCGGAAAACGUAAUGUUUUUCUCUCUGACCCGCUCAAAUUUCAUCGUAUCUUACAACCUUUAGCCCGGCCACCUAUACAAAACCUAACAUAAAUGCCAAGGUUCGACAAUUUGUCAGAACGAAUGGAGACUAGUGGUUGCAUAUACGUAUACUUGUGUAUAGGGUGAUUCAUAUGACUGUUUACGAAGCAUGCAUGCUCAAUCUUGAAACCACAAGAAAUAUAAAAGAUUAGUUUCAAGAUUAGCAAUAUAUAUAUACGUAUGUAUAUAUAACUUGGAGAAUAGAUAAUUAAAAUAGAUUCUUCCCUGUUCAAAUUUGUUUCGAUAAUUCUUAUCAUUAUCCUCCAAAGAUUAUUAAACUAAAUCCCACAUACGAUUUGCAAAAUAUAUCUUUCAAAAUUUUCCAUGUUUCCCCAGUACUUUAACUUUGCGUUUAUAUUUUAUACGAUGAAAACAACGAAAAAUUAUACAUUCCUCUAGAAAUAACGAUAUGUUCAAAGGUAAUUUUAGGAAUUAUUUUUCGAUCGAUUCGUAUCAAUUGCAAUCUCACAUGUACAACGUAUUCACCGAAAGCUCGUGACGCGCGAUGGUUCUCCACAUCCUGUCGCUGGUGUAAGUCGAAAGGGCCACAGUUACAAUCCUAUCGGGGAUGGAAAUCUCAUAUUACGUGGAUCACCCUGUAUAUAGAUAUAGAGACAUAGAGAAACUCGGCCGGAUCUGUAAAACUGAAGGCUCGUGGACAAAAACCUGACCUCUCGAACAACUGUGCACCAUGUGUGCGCCACUUGUGCGCCUCUCUUCUCCCAUUCUCUUUCCCUCCAACGAUCCCACUCUCUCGCGUUCUCUCUUCAUUUCGUCCCUCGCCUGCCACUUCUCUCUUUUCGACCCGCUUCCACGAGCUUCCCGAUCGCGAUUAAUCAGGUAUACAUACGGCGAAAAACUGGAAUGGAAUCCACGGAGUCUCGUUCUAUACUUUUGUUCCUUCCUCGUCGUCACGAAAAUAAGAGGCGUUCUCGAGAGGAACAGAAUCGCCGCUUUGUACCUUAUCUCCUCGUUUUCAUCUUCCUCCUCUUUGUUUUUCUUCCUUUUCUCUCCUACUCACUUUAGACAAACUUCUUUCUUCUUCGAUCACUUUUUCUUAGCUUUUGGAUAAUUAAUCAUCGCAAUGCAAUAACUAUCCUCGUAUUCGAUGAUAAAAAUAACAUCAAUGAUUACCGCGCUUUAUUCGAAAAUUGCGAUAUGUGUCAUAUUAUAUUAUUAGGAAUCAGAACGUAACGAUACAUCGAACGCAAUUUUACUAUCAGAAAGAAAUCAGAAACGAGCACACUGUGGACGAAUACGCGUUAUCGUGGCGAUAUAACAAGGGUAGCCAACGUUUUUAAUACACGUCAUGGAUAAGUCACGACUAGUAUGUCCGAGCACGAACAAAGUUAAGCGUGUAAUGUAGCAGGGGCAAGCGUGUAAAUAUUUGUUACGUUCUGAUUUCUGUAAGAACGUCGCUUGCAGAGUAAGAUAGGCACGAGUACUGUUCCCCUUCUAUUUUACCGAUCGGUGAUACAUUUUUGAACGAAUGCAAAUACGUUUCUUCUCUUUCGGCAUAUCGUCGAAAAAGUAACUGAUUAAAAAUAAAGUAAUAAUUAGUUUUGCUCUUCGCAUAACCUCACUUGUUCGAUGUUAUCUUCGGUUAUUGGAAUAGAAAUUCUGUGCACGGGAUUAUACGUGUAUGAUAAAUGAAAAAUAUAGUUUUAAAAAAUUGUGUAAAAGUGUGUUAUUCCAACAAAAUUCCUUUUGCUAUUAAAUUUGAGAGAAUAAACGAGUUUUAACGGAGUCUCGGGUGCAACUCGAAGCUCGGCUGAGUGUAAUCAGAUCGGUUUUCAUAAAGUAGCCUUUUCGUAGCAACACGCAGCCGCGUGUCCAGGUUACUCUGUGUAACCUGUCAGCCCAUAAAGAGCGACAUAUUAACAGCUCGACCUCUGUUCACGCCUCGGGACUGCGUUCUCUUGGUUUUAUUUCGACCGCGCAGGACUUUGACAUUCCACGCUUUCUCGGUUAUGAUCGGUUUCUCCCACGAUGCGACAAAAAUUUUCUCGAUGAAAAUAGCAAGGAAGCUUAUCGAUGCGAGAUUUGAAUAUAAUUUAAUCGCGAUUGCUCGAGUUUGAGAUGCUUUGUUGCGACAUUUUAAAUUUAUUUCGCUACGAUAAUUCAUUUUCGAAAGUUAAAUCAAUCUAAUCUGAAAAUUUUCUGAAAAUUUCUCAAUUUACACGACGCUAUCGAUAAAUUAUUAGUCGACGAACGGAAAGAAACGUAAAAUUUUUUGACGAUCUUUGAAAUUAAUCUUUGUAGUAUUUAAGAAAAAAACAACGAAUCGAAAAGUUGCAAAAUUAUAAUUAACAGGGAGUAAAGAGUAUGUUAUGUCGAAAGAAGGAGCAGCAAGGAGUAAGCUGGAAACUUUACUACCUGUAUUUCGGAGAAGAGCUCUCCUGUGUGAGAAGAGAGGGGCAAACUCUGAUCAGCACCGUGUCGAGCAGAAUGUCGCAGGGAAGGAAGGUGGGACAGCGCAAGCUCGGUAUUCCCCUCUCUCUCUCCCUCUCGAGACAAAAAGUAGAAAAGUGUAUUCGCGCAGUUUACCUAUAGCUCGACGCGGCAGUGACGAUGGUCGCCAUAUGGGCGACAGCCCGGGGGCCCACCAAGAGCCGCGCACCUUCCUCUCUUUUCUCUUUUCCCUUUGGGUGCCCCUGAUGCGGGCCAGAUUUCAUGCACCGCGUAUGUGCGCGCAAAAGAGCCGCCGCCACCGCGAGUCCCCUUAGGCGGAACGAUUCUGCAAAAACGUGGCGGCGACGCGAGAUCGUGCGCGUGACUCAUCGAUAAAUUCGACUAGCGCGGCCAGUUCCCACGAGGAAAUCUCGCUCUCCCACCUAGCCGCGUGUCUCCUCUUCGGGCGUCGUUGUCCCCGUUUUUCCCGCGCGACGAGAAAAAUUCGAUCGGAUAAUGGCGUAUUUUAUGUACGAGGAGGUUAGGAGAAUCUGUCGAUUAAGUGAGGUUAUCUUUACACGUAGGAAAACAAAUUGGGUCAGACGCAAUUACGUUCGUGCAUGAGUGAAAGGCAAAAGAGAUAAAGUCGAGGUAAAAGUUGGAGAUUCGUAUUCGUAUUAAAAAAGUAAUUUAUCGUGAGCAAAAGGUAUAGAAAUUUAAGGAUAAAAUGGGGAAUGAGAUGGUAACCGCGUGUUCGAAAUCUGCGUGUCGAGAGGAGGAUUUUACGAUUGAACGAGGUGCGAAGUGACCAUAAAUCCGUCCAUUAGCCUUGUUGCAAUGGACACAUGGGUUGUGUUUUAUCGCGUUGGACGGGUCCCCGUCGCAAAAUAGAUUUUUCGCCGAUACGUGACGAAUCGCGGCUACGCGUAUCGCGAUAAACCUGGAUUUCCUCGUGACGCGCUCUAUCGCUUUUCCUCCGGUAAUUUUAUCGUAUUUCCUCCCACGUAGCAUCCAUCGAUACGUCCCACAACCGGUUGGAACAUCGAUAUUUCUAUAUUUUAUUAUCGUAAUUAGUAUUUUUCGUACUUAUUUAUCUAAUUUCACCAGCUUGUCGAUAUUUGUUGUACAGAGAUUAAUAUUUAUUAAUUAACACCUCGUUCAAUCGGAUUGUUUUUAUCCAAUUUUUAACAACUUUGUUUCAAAUAUAUGUUUAACGAAUGUUCAAAAUUUCUAGUUUGAAUUUUAAUGGCCCGACAUGCACGAUUUUCAACAUCAGGACGACACGUGUCUCAGGUGUGCGGCGGGCACAGCACGUUUCGUGUAAUGAAAUGCGAACGCGUGCAUGUGCAUCCGUGAGCAAACUGCUGUUUAUAGUGAAUGAUUUGCGCUUGCACGCUCGGUCGAAAGAUAGAUUUGACAAAUAUUUCAUAGGUUGUUUCUCGGUGAACCCUCUGAUUUUUCGACCGGUCACGUUUGUCGAGUCAACUGUGAUAAUAAAUCGUGCGAUCGAUUUAUCGCGAAUAUGCAUUCAAGUAAAAUAUUGUUUCGAUCAUUUCGACAGUGAUGCACACGAGCAAACUUUGCAUUAUUUGCAAUUUUCGAAAUUAACUAAACGUUCACAGCAUUUUUAUAUUCGUUCACGAUAAAGAUUUUAAAAAGUGCAAUUUAUCUCGUUUUGAUAAAUAUUUUAUUAUAAUUAACUCGUAACCAGCACGAUGAAGAUUUUAAAUUUUUAUUUUUCUAUCUGCGUUGAGCGUCUUAUUUUAUUAUAUUAAUAUUUUGCAAAAUAAAUUCCAUUGAAAUAUGCAAAAAUAUAGUUAUUUUUUGAACGGAGAUUGUGAGUUAUAUUCUUUUCCCAAGCAAAAUUUGUUUGAUAUCAAAUUCUUUUUUCUUGAAUUCUAUUUCUAUAAAAACUUUCAAAGUUUAGACUGCAAAGUUCAUUUUUCAUUUCCCAGAUAUAAUUUUUUUAAAAGUUUAGAAUAAUUCUUGCGUCGAAAAAUAUUCAGAGACGGAGACUCCGUAAUUCAAAUGUUCGAAGAAUUUAUUGCUUCUAAAAAAACUUUUUUGAAAAGAAUAUUUUUUCGUUUCAAAGUCGAAAAUAAUUUUCGAAAAAAAUCAAAAGCCAUCUCGUAUUUUUCUUUUUUGCUUUAAUAAUUAUAAAAUGUUUGAUGCAACAAGAGGCAUGAUAUCGUAAAAGAUUUAAAUCGAUACAAUCCGAUACGAAUAUCGGAAGUGAAACUCUUUGGAAAAAUUUCUCGACACUGAGAAAUAAUUGAACUUUCGUUCUUUCCAUUUUUUCCAACAAUUUUUUAAAACUCAUCGAAAUAUGGCGUAAAAUAAAAACGAAAAGAAAAGCAAAAGAAGCGAUUAAAAAUCAUCGAUCGUGCUUACUUCUGGAUUUUCCAGUCGUGAAAUCGGUUGUGCCGGCGAAUCGGCAAACAAAAGGUUAAAGGGAUUGCGGUUACGCGUUCUGGGAAGGUGCGCGCUGCAAAAUGCAGCCACGGUGUCGAUGGAUAUUGGAUAUGGACGAUGGGGUAGCUACGACGUGCACGAGCUGUGGGGUAGCAAAGCUAAGCCAGUAAUGCAAUAACUUGAAUAGAUGGCUAUGCAGGCGGAAAGAACAUAACCUAUCCACCCCUCCUAGCCACCCCCUCUCUCUCUCAACCCUCGAAACUUCCAUUCCUGCUUCAUCCCCUUACGCGGGGGCCUCUCCGUUCCCUAAACACGUACGAAUCGGCGCACGUACGUAGCGGCCGGACUGUGCCAGGAGGGUGAAUCCAGGGGUGGUUUCAACCCUGCCUCCAAGUACCCCGAAUACAGUCGGUUACGUUAAAAGGCUUUUAAUAUGCACGCUCGACGUCGGAAUCGAAUCCUCGAUCGCGGAAAACGUGGGAGUAUAAACAAAUUUUCCCGACCUGAUCCCUUUUUUGGUCAAGUAGAAUUGAUUUUAUUCGUUUAACGAGGCGAUACGGUUCCUAUUGCUCGAUAAUGAUUAUAUUCGUUCGAUCCAAAAAGGUUAUUAACUCGUAAAAUAGGUAAUGAUUAAUAUCGCAAAAGAUGGAACAGGGAGCGAGAGAAAAGAAGGAUGAGAAAAAAGUCGCGAUCAAGAGUCAUAUUCCGACACACAUUCGGCUGUUUACGGUCACGUGAGAUCGAAGGCGAGUCGGGCGAAGGAAGGAAAGAAGGGGUCUGGACGCGACUGCGGGCGCAGGAGCGGAGAGGGUGAAAUUCACGUAGGCGCGUAUGGAAGGGAUGGACGGAGCAUGCUCAGACGCACAUAUUACGGCGCACGUCAGUAUUUAAACACGCUUGAUGGGAAGGUGGUGCACGAGGGUGAAAUCGGGAUCCCAUUGUGCUCAGGUGUGAGGCGUGUGCGCGCAAGGGGGUGGACGGAGAGGCUGCUGGGGAGGGGAGGGGAGGGGCGGGGGAGGGUAGAUUUGCACACGCGGCACGAGCCGCUUUCACAAAGGGAUGGAACAGAUUGGAAGCCAUUCAUUCAUUCGGUUGCCCUGUAUUUUUUCCCCGUGUUUGACUGGGAGAGCAUCGUCGACCACCCUCCUCUUCGCCGCUUCUCCUCUCUCUUCGCCUUUCCCUUCUCUCUGUCGCAUUCUGUGCCUACAGAGAAAAAUUAUGGAAUAUUUGAAUUCGUACGUGUCAGACGGGAAUGGUAACAAACGAUGUUUUAGAGAUAGAUCUUACGGAGAACGAAAUUUUGAGUUGACGAUUCGAUCAAGCGUUCGAGAAUAAAGAUUUAGAGGAUGGACCUCCGGUAAGAGGAAAUGUGAUCUUUGAUUUGAUUGGAAAGAUUAAGAUUUUAUUUUAAUGGAGAGAGAAAUAGUAUUUUUAAAAGAUCGCGUAAAAUUAAUUUAAAAGAUGGAUUAUUAAAGGAAAUGAAUUAACCCGGACGUUUAAAAUUUGUUGAUUUUUCGUUACGAAUUUUUAAUUCCGACUCUUAGUUUUUCCCAAUUCACAGAAUAAUGGAUUUCCGCGAUAUUAUAAAUACGCACGACAAUGAAUCCGUGCAAGUCUUGGUCGGACUCACCAUUGGCUCGUGUUUGACCUCACGAAAAUCAAUAUCUGUCGGGAAACUUAAGUGCGUUACAGGGGGUUUAUCUUUUGAUAUUUCGUAUCUGAAACGAAUACACGAAUUUCUUUCGCCAUUCCUAUAUUUUUCUCCCAUCGUUGAAUGCGUGCUUUCGCUCGAGAAGAGUUAUCGAUCGAUUUAUCACCUUCGUUUUAAUUCUUUCGAAUGAAAAAGAAUUUUAAAUUUUACAAGGAGCAAAGGAAGACGCGUUUAUUUGUUUUAUUUUACGCUUAUUUAAGUUUCUUUGCUAUAUUUAAUUUUUAAUUGAAUAAUCUUUCGUUACAUUAAUUGAAAUAUUUACGAAAAUAUAAAUGGUGUAAUUUUAAAUUAAUUUAAAUUAAUUUAACAAAUUUUUUAAAUAAACAUGUGUAAAAUAUGUGUAAAAUAAUGUAAAAAAGAAAUAAAUAAAUAAAUAAAGUACAAUUUUUUUUAACAUUA